GACAAGGUAAGCAGUCAAACUUCCAAGUAAGCAACCCAGGAUCAGAGGUUUGACUUCGGCUUCCGGUUGAUUGUUCUCCUUCUCCUUGUCUCUCAUUCAACUGCCAGGAUAAGGAGAAGCAAAUGGAUAAGAGAUGAUAUGAGAUACUUUUGCUUUUGAAGAAGUAACUUUCCACAGGCUUAUUCUUGAACUGUGCUGGAGGGUUUUCUGGUGCCCUUCAGAGUAUAAGGCCAACUCAAAAAUUUGAGGGUCAAAACAAGUCCAUCAAAUCUAGAGUACGUUCGACCUUGAUGAUAUGGGAUACUUUUGCUGUUGACGGAAUAAUGAAUGUGGUAUGGAAAGGUGUCGUGCUGUAGUGAUCUGUUUCAGCUCACCGUUGAACCUUCUGCUUCAAUCUUUUGCAUGGCAGAAGUGGUGUGCAACCUUUGUAUUUAAAUGGUCCUUCAGAACAUUCCUUCAUAGUGA
rnacentral:lncRNA from 1 species